CGGGGUGCAGCAGGCGCGAAAACUUUACAAUGCGGGAAACCGUGAUAAGGGGACACCGAGUACCAGCAUUAUAUGCUGGCUGUCCAGGUGUGUAAACUACACCUGUUAGCAAGGGCCGGGCAAGACCGGUGCCAGCCGCCGCGGUAACACCGGCGGCCCGAGUGGUGAUCGUGAUUAUUGGGUCUAAAGGGUCCGUAGCCGGUUUGGUCAGUCCUCCGGGAAAUCUGACGGCUCAACCGUUAGGCUUUCGGGGGAUACUGCCAGGCUUGGAACCGGGAGAGGUAAGAGGUACUACAGGGGUAGGAGUGAAAUCUUGUAAUCCCUGUGGGACCACCUGUGGCGAAGGCGUCUUACCAGAACGGGUUCGACGGUGAGGGACGAAAGCUGGGGGCACGAACCGGAUUAGAUACCCGGGUAGUCCCAGCCGUAAACGAUGCUCGCUAGGUGUCAGGCAUGGCGCGACCGUGUCUGGUGCCGCAGGGAAGCCGUGAAGCGAGCCACCUGGGAAGUACGGCCGCAAGGCUGAAACUUAAAGGAAUUGGCGGGGGAGCACAAGGGCGAUUGCGG
rnacentral:rRNA from 1 species